GACAGAGGAGCCAAGCGUUGUCCGGAUUGACUGGGCGUAAAGCGCACGUAGGCGGCUUUGCAAGUCAGAGGUGAAAGCCCGGGGCUCAACCCCGGAAUUGCCUUUGAGACUGCAUCGCUAGAAUUGUGGAGAGGUAAGUGGAAUUCCAAGUGUAGAGGUGAAAUUCGUAGAUAUUCGGAAGAACACCAGUGGCGAAGGCGACUUACUGGACACAUAUUGACGCUGAGGUGCGAAAGCGUGGGGAGCAAACAGG
rnacentral:rRNA from 1 species